rnacentral:rRNA from 1 species
UUUGAAAUCUGGUACCUUCGGUGCCCGAGUUGUAAUUUGUAGAGGGCGACUUUGGGGCGGCUCCUUGUCUAUGUUCCUUGGAACAGGACGUCAUAGAGGGUGAGAAUCCCGUGUGGCGAGGAGUGCGGUUCCGUGUAAAGCGCUCUCGAAGAGUCGAGUUGUUUGGGAAUGCAGCUCUAAGUGGGUGGUAAAUUCCAUCUAAAGCUAAAUAUUGGCGAGAGACCGAUAGCGAACAAGUACAGUGAUGGAAAGAUGAAAAGAACUUUGAAAAGAGAGUGAAAAAGUACGUGAAAUUGUUGAAAGGGAAGGGCAUU